AUUGAACGCUGGCGGCAGGCCUAACACAUGCAAGUCGAGCGAGCGGCGGACGGGUGAGUAAUGUCUGGGAAACUGCCUGAUGGAGGGGGAUAACUACUGGAAACGGUAGCUAAUACCGCAUACCAUCAGAUGUGCCCAGAUGGGAUUAGCUAGUCGGUGGGGUCACGGCUCACCUAGGCGACGAUCCCUAGCUGGUCUGGGAGGAUGACCAGCCACCCUGUAACUGAGACACGGUCCAGACUCCUCCGGCAGGAAGCAGUGGUGAAUAUGUCACAAUGGGCGCAAGCCUGAUGCAGCCAUGCCGCGGGUGUGAAGAAGGCCUUCGGGUUGUAAAGCACUUUCAGCGGGGAGGCGUUACCCGCAGCAGAAGCACCGGCUAACUCCGUGCCAGCAGCCGCGGUAAUUC
rnacentral:rRNA from 1 species